rnacentral:ncRNA from 12 species
UAACGUCUUCAGGGCAGGGUGCAAGUCCCUACCGGCGGUUAUAGCCCGCGAGCCUUAUAUGGCAUGACUUGGUGAGAUUCCAAGGCCGACAGUACAGUCUGGAUGGAAGAAGAUUUAA